rnacentral:misc_RNA from 1 species
GUUUGCCGCAAAGGAUAUUUGACUUAAUAUACCGCUGAAUUUUUUUUUCGAUUAUUAGCGAAUUCAGUUGAAUGCUACAAUGCGUAAUAAUAAAUUGUUUCGCGUCGCGUCAGUCCAGUCGUAUCGGUCACAACUAUAAUUUUGUCGAGUUAGAUACGUUGUUAAGGUAACAUUUUUUAAUACUUACGCGGCGCGUUUAGUUCAAAAGUGAAACAAUAACAAUAAACUUUAUACUAAAAAAUAAACAUUAAAAUAAAAGUGAUGGAGGGUACAACAGCCUCCGUAGAUUCUUGCUUCAUAUGCAAUGAGAGUUUAAGUGAGGGUGAGGUGAUUUUAGUGAAAAAGAAAGCAGUGGCAACAUUGCUUGCGUGUAGUAUUAAAUUAAAAAACCAGGAACAUGAACGUUUACUAAAGAAAGUGUGCGAGAUUUCAGUGCACCGUGCUUGUCAAAAACGAAACACUAAUCCCAAAUUAAUAAAAGCAGCUGUGCAACGUGGGGAAAACGAAGUAAGAUCAGCGAGACCAACAAGAAGCUCAACUCAGCAGUUCAACUUUAGAGAAAACUGUUUUUUAUGUGGAGAGCAGAUAACUGCUGAAUUCAUUGAAGCUCAGAAAAAAAACAAGCCCGAAAAAAGGAAUAAUGUGAUUGCCGUGGAAAACUUGCAGUUGGUUUCAUCCAUAUUAAAAGCAGCCAAGAAAAGAGGCGAUGAAUGGGCACUGAAAAUAAUCGAACGCAUUUCAGAAGAUACCGAUUUGCCUGCACUAGAUGCUAGAUAUCAUAAUUUUUGCCAGAAGAAGCUCUACCGACCUGUUAGAAUAAGGCUAGAAAGGGGAGAACACCUUCGUGGAACUGUUGAUGAAGCCAUGGACAAAAUUUUUGAUUUCCUGGAAGAAAACUCGGAAGAGUGUCAGUUUUCUUUGACGACGUUGACAGAGUUAUUAGGUGAGAAUACGCUUGAUGUACGAACUAUUAAAAGUCGCCUACUUAAAAAGUAUGGAGAUGACAUAACAGUAGUUACCACAUCAAACAAAACUCCGCUUUAAAUAUACAGGAUACAAAAUCUUAUCUGAUGCGUGGUAUACUGAACAGAUAUCCGAUCCCCAAGAAGAGCGACUCCGGGUGGUUAAGGCAGCAGCUGAUAUUAUCCGGGAGGAUAUUCGCUCUCAGGUAUGCAACACAGAAGAAUACCCGCCCUCACAUAAUUUUUUGCAAGAUGUGGAGUCCGUAAUACCAAACACGCUAAAAACAUUUAUGGAGACCGUGAUUGUAAAAAACAAACGAGGAUCUCUGGAUAAGUGGCAUAAAACGUGUGUUGCUCUGUCACACUCAAUAGUGUCAGCUGUGAGACCUGCCUCAUUCAUAUCUUCAUUGCUUCAUGGUGUAGGUGUUUAUUUGUAUCAUAAAUCUGCGUCCAGUCAUCUUGUUGACUUGUUGUUCAACAUGGGAUUUUGCGCGAAUUACAAAAAUAUUGUAAAAUUAGAGCUCCGCCAUCCUAAGAGCAGACCAAAUGCAACUGGAGCAGAGGAGUUUUGUGCAAUUCGCUUUUGACAACGCAGAUUUUAAUGUUAACACCCUGGAUGGAUUAGGCACCUUUCACGCUUUAGGAGGUAUAAUGAUGGUUACUCCUAGUGAAUCAAUUAUCCCAGAAGAAAGUUUUGCUCGAGUGGAUAGAUGCGGUGCAUCCCAGCUCAUUCGCCAAAGACCACCUAUGCAGUUACAAAUCUACCAUUCUUAAAUCAUCCUCCAACACAGUAUGACACUCUAUUAACCGCUCUUCGGGUGGCAAAUGAAAAAUGUGAUGCCUAUGGUCAAAAAACAUGCCUCGUGACGUUUGAUCAACCACUAUACAAAAAAGCUAAAGAAAUAGUGGAAAACUGUGCAGAUUCUGCAUUUAAUAACGUGGUUGUAAGUUUAGGAGGAUUUCACUUACUAAUGUCUCUUAUGGGAACAAUAGGCAAUAUAAUGGAAGGACUUUCAACUAUUUUUGCGCCAAACAGUAUUGACAAGAUAACGUCUGGGCACUCUUAUGCACGUGCUGUGAGGGCUCACACUCUUACUCAGCUAGCAUUAGCAACAGAGGUUGUUAAAACUGUAGAUCUAACUGACGCAGAUAAAGGUUUACUCGAUGAUGUGUUCUGCAGCUUUGACCAUUCUACCAUCUUAACGAUAGCCCAAAAUGGGCAAUUCCAACUUAUCCAAAACAAAGUUACUAGUGCGUUUGAUAAUCUUGAACUCAACGGUCCAACAGCAAAGCUUUGGGUUCAAUAUAUCCAAAUGGUAACUUUGAUGAAACAAUUUAUCGAGGCAGAGAGAAUGGGCAACUGGGAUCUGCAUCUAAAAACCAUUCAAAAAAUGCUGCCAUUUUUCCAUGCAGCUGACCACUUUUUUUAUGCCAAGUGUGCCCACAUGUACCUCCAAGACAUGUUAACACUGGGAGAAAGAAUGGAUCCCGCCGAAUUCCAACUGCUUACAAAAAGUGGAUACUUUACGAUUCGACGAACCAACAAAUUCUGGUGUGGUAUAUGGUCAGACAUGACAAUCGAACAGGUUCUUAUGAGGUCAAUGAAAUCAUACGGAGAUUUGACCCGGGGUCGCGGAAUGACAGAUAGUGUGCUAACCCGAUGGACAUUAGGAAUGAUCUACCUUCAAACAUAUGCACAGAUGUGGAAAGCUACUGCGGUUUUAUGAGUGGUACGUCUGAACAGCAUAUUGAUUUACGACAAUCCAGAAUGACUAGAGACGAAAAAGAUGUAGAAAAACUGCUUGCCUUCUUUGAUCUUCACGCACCAUUUCCCAAGAAUGAUUCCAUAAUUUCAUUGAGUAGUGGACUUGUUGGAACUAAAGAGGUAAACUGCCACAAUGCGGUAAAGAUUGGAAGAGAGAUGAUGUCAAAAGUUAUUGGUGAAAAUUUCGAAAAUGUAAAGUUUUCUAGAAAAACUACUAUCAACACGCUUGCCUCUGUUGCCUGCUCUGUUUUGAUUGGAGAGAGAAUGGUGACCGUUAAUCCUCUUACUCUGUUCCUCAGACUGCAUUUUAAAAAAGACUGAAGAAGAACUGAAGGAAUUUUUUGCACACGAAUUGUCGCCAUUUCCCAUGGCACUUUUUACUGAAAGUGGAAUUAGAAAAGGUACGAAGUCAACAUUUUAUGCAGCGUUUAAUUCUGUGACUCUAGAUGAAAAUGAGCAGAGGAAAAAUAUGUACGUAUUUGUAGAUGGUGGACAUCUGCUCCACAAAGUUGUGUGGCCUCGGAAUGUGUCUUUUGGAGAAAUCAGUGCCCGGUAUGUCAAAUACUUGAAAAGUCAAUACGGACCAAAUAUAACAGUGGUUUUUGAUGGGUAUCCAUCUGAAGCAUCAGAAAAAAGCACCAAAAGCUCGGAACGUCUUCGUAGAGCUAAAGCAACAUCCUCUCCUGAUGUUAUCUUCGACGAAACCACAAUUACUCCAGUUACUCAAGAGAACUUUUUAUUAAAUGACAGGAACAAGGUUAGACUAAUCGACAUGCUAAAGGUGCACCUAAAGAGGGAUCGAAUUGAGACCCUACAGGCAGAGGAAGAUGCUGACCGAUUGAUAAUAACAACAGCCAUUUCCAUGUCCUCUGCCUACGACGUAGUGAAGAUCGCCGGCGAGGAUAUUGAUCUGUUGGUUUUACUUUGUGGCUUGUCGCCAGAUGUAGGGGACAAGGCUCAUUCAUCAAACCGACCAAAGAAAAUCAUAUUUGAAAAAUGUGGGAGAGGUAAAAACCGAGACUUUAGCUACUUGUCAAAUUCAUUCACAUACCAAGCACAACCCGGAAUAGUCUUAUUUCUGCAUGCGUUCAGUGGUUGUGAUACCACAUCCGCCUUUUUUAGACAAGGAAAAAUUAAAUUUCUAUCGACACUAAAAACGCAGCGGCAGCUCGAACAAAACGCUGAAGUUUUUCUGAGCCCCAAUGCUACACCUAAGCAAGUCGCCGAAGCAGGAGAAAGCUUUCUCGUUUCACUAUGGAGGCAACAAUAAAUCUCAAAAUCUCAAUGAUCUUCGCUUCCAGUUGUUUACAAGAGCGGCAUCUAAGUCUAACAUGAACCUGGCCAGGUUGCCUCCAACCAGAAAUGCUGCAAGAUUUCACUGUCUGCGCACGUACCAACAGGUACACAAAUGGCUGGGGAACGAGAAGAAUCCUCUCGAUUGGGGCUGGAUCAGGAGUGCACAAGGCCUUAUUCCGCAACUGAAGACGAAACCACCAGCUCCUCAGCUCCUGCUCAACAUGAUUUCCUGCACUUGCAAGAAAGGUUGUACGUAUAACUGCGGCUGUAGAAAAGCAGGACUCAAAUGCUCGGCUAUUUGCAACCACUGCAGCGGUAAAUCUUGCGAGAACAUACCUGCCCUUAUUUACGACAUUGAUGAGACACUUUUUGACCAUCCGUCAGAUGACGAUUUAUAUCUACCUGAUGAGGAAGAAGUGCAGACAAGGCAAGCUGCCUCCAAAGCAGGUGCUAUAGAUUUAGGGGACCAGCCUGGUCCGUCAAAGAUUGAAAAAAUAACUAGAAUAAAUAUAAUAAAUUAGCAA